CGAUUCUCAAGAACUCCGGCUAAUAAAAUCUGCGAUGUUCAUUUCGUCAAAUUUCGUUUCGGCGGAUAAGGAAACCGUCGUCUUCGUGGCUUUUACUUUGUGAUAGAUUCUGAUUUUUAUAUUUUGGUGCUUGAAUGGGCGACCUUCAAGCUUCGUCACCUGAGUUAAACGGCGCGGUCUUAGAGGAAAGGCCACCGCCGCUUUCUCUGUCAAACCAAGCAGGCAUUA
rnacentral:misc_RNA from 1 species